ensembl:snoRNA
GCACUUAAAUCUUUCCCAGGCCCGCUGCUUCAUGCUGUUCUGGGGACGGAUGGCGCUACAGCAGGUGCAGAGAAUAUCCACACGGGUUGUUUUCCAUUUGUCUUGAGGCCUGGAUCUGCAACUCUGCCACAUGU